CAAACAGAAGCAAGUGGGUUGAGAUUGUUGCUGUACUGCUAGAGUCAUGAUGGAGAUGGAGUUUUUUCUUCAAGUAAUUUGUGUUACAAAAACGAGGUGUUCAAAAUAACGACACCAUUUAAUUGGUUCAUUGCAUUUUGAGAGGACAUCAGCAGAAAUUCUGCAACUCCACCAAGAUCUCACUCUCUAUAAGGAAUGCAGAACAAAAUGGAAGGGACAAGAGCUCUCUGGCUGUUUGGCAUGCUGUUACUCCGCCACGUCAAGGCAGAUGAUUCUGUUCCAACAACUUGGGAGCCCAACCAAACCACAAAUGAUCACACAAACUCUUUUGAGG